GGGCUCCAUGGGAUUCCUAUCUGGGGUAUAACACAUUCAAACAAAUCUACUGAACCCCAGGCAGAAAAGCACGAAUACAGCUUUUCUGCAGGCAAAAAUAAAGUCUUUAAAAAGGGGGCCAUAGUCCAAAGGCAGCAGGCGAGCAACCAGGCUUCUCCAAUGCAAUGUGGCGAGAUUGGUCUCGUCACAGUCUUCAUGUAGGAAGCUGAAGAAAGAGCAUGGGGGGAGGGUUGACUAUGUUAACAAAGGACAUCCAGUAUGCACAGAACUGACAUUAAGCAGCCUCUUGGUCCUCCAGGCUGGCUAAUGACUCCUCCGUGAUGCUGCUGUGCGUAGUUACAGCUCUGGGGUUAAACUUUGUUUUGCGGUGAAACGCUGCACAGUUUUUUAAAGGUAUAGUGAUGGCCAAGUGUAUGGCCAGGUACUUUAUAGUAAAGUGUGUCCCAGCAUAUGUGAGAUGGUAAGGAAGGCCCCCGGCCAUUAGAAUCAGGGAAAGAGCUUCACCAAUGGGCAUUGAAUAUGACAAUAAUGUGCACCAGAAAUCCGGUCCAUGAAAUGGCAGCCAUUGUUGAAGUAUGUUGUUGAUGAGUUCAGGGAGGGGCAUGGUGUAAGGAAAUGUGUCUGCAACGGUAGGUGAGUCUAUUGUAUAAGUAGUGCUGGUUUGUAAAGUUCAUGCUCGCUCUGUAAAUUUUAAUGCUAAAGCCAAACAAAGUUGCCCACUGAUGCAAAGUCUUGUCUCUUUGGAGAAAAAGAGACUGAGAAAUAAAGUUGCAUUUUGUUACAGAGAAAUAAAGUUGCAUUUUGUUACAGAGAAUU